GGAAAUGGUAGCUUCGGCCUCCGCCCUGGGAUGGGCCCGCGGCGCAUUAGCUUGUUGGUGUGGGUAACGGCCCACCAAGGCGACGAUGCGUAGCUGGUCUGAGAGGACGAUCAGCCACACUGGGACUGAGACACGGCCCAGACUCCUACGGGAGGCAGCAGUGGGGAAUCUUGCGCAAUGGGCGGAAGCCUGACGCAGCAACGCCGCGUGUGGGAAGACGGCUUUCGGGUUGUAAACCACUUUCAGGGGGGACGAAGCUUCCGAGGUUAAUAGCCUACGGGGUGACGGUACCCCCAGAAGAAGCCCCGGCUAACUACGUGCCAGCAGCCGCGGUAAUACGUAGGGGGCGAGCGUUGUCCGGAAUCAUUGGGCGUAAAGCGCGUGUAGGCGGCUUGAUAAGUCUGGUGUGAAUUCUUGGGGCUCAACCCCAAACCUGCACUGGAUACUGUCAAGCUUGAGUCCGGUAGGGGAGAGCGGAAUUCCUAGUGUAGCGGUGAAAUGCGCAGAUAUUAGGAAGAACACCGGUGGCGAAGGCGGCUCUCUGGAACGGUACUGACGCUGAGACGCGAAAGCGUGGGGAGCGAACAGGAUUAGAUACCCUGGUAGUCCACGCCGUAAACGAUGGGCACUAGAUGUGGGCGGUGUCGACUCCGUCCGUGUCGAAGCUAACGCAUUAAGUGCCCCGCCUGGGGAGUACGGCCGCAAGGCUAAAACUCAAAGGAAUUGACGGAAUCGA
rnacentral:rRNA from 1 species